UGUGGGGUAGAGUAAUGGUGACUCAACAGUCUCAUAAGCUGUUCUAUGGUGGUUCGAUUCCAUCCUCCGCAACCA
rnacentral:tRNA from 1 species